rnacentral:rRNA from 1 species
UCUGUGCGGUGGAUCGCUCGGCUCGUGGGUCGAUGAAGAGCGCAGCCAGCUGCGUGAUGUAGUGCAAAAUGCAGGACACACAAACACUGAACAUCGACAUCUUGAACGCACAUUGCGGCCCGGGCUUCUCGGAGCCUGGGCCACGUCUAUUCGAGUGUCAGCUAAGUAUCCCC